UUUGCCUACGGGACGCAGCAGUGAGGAAUAUUGGUCAAUGGGAGAGAUCCUGAACCAGCCAAGCCGCGUGAGGGAAGACGGCCCUAUGGGUUGUAACCCUCUUUUGUCGGAGAACAAAACCCGGGACGAGUCCCGGGCUGCGUGUAUCCGAAGAAAAAGCAUCGGCUAACUCCGUGCCAGCAGCCGCGGUAAUACGGAGGAUGCGAGCGUUAUCCGGAUUUAUUGGGGUUAAAGGGUGCGUAGGCGGUCCGUUAAGUCAGCGGUAAAAUUGCGGGGCUCAACCCCGUCGAG
rnacentral:rRNA from 1 species